UACGGGGGGGGGCAAGCGUUGUUCGGAAUUACUGGGCGUAAAGAGCUCGUAGGCGGUUCGGCAAGUCGGGUGUGAAAUUUCGAGGCUCAACCUCGAAACGCCACUCGAUACUGCUGUGACUGGAGUCCGGUAGAGGAGUGCGGAAUUCCUGGUGUAGCGGUGAAAUGCGCAGAUAUCAGGAGGAACACCAACGGCGAAGGCAGCACUCUGGGCCGUUACUGACGCUGAGGGAGCGAAAGCGUGGGGAGCAAACAGG
rnacentral:rRNA from 1 species